GGGGAUGUAGCUCAUAUGGUAGAGCGCUCGCUUAGCAUGCGAGAGGUACUGGUAACAUUUCUU
rnacentral:tRNA from 1 species